GUUUCUGUAGUGCAGUGGUUAUCACGUUUGCCUCACAUGCGAAAGGUCCCCAGUUUGAAACCAGGUGGAAACA
rfam:Ovis aries breed Texel chromosome 1, whole genome shotgun sequence.